UACGUAGGGUGCGAGCGUUGUCCGGAAUUAUUGGGCGUAAAGGGCUCGUAGGCGGUGUGUCGCGUCGGCCGUGAAAACCUGCAGCUUAACUGUGGGCUUGCGGUCGAUACGGGCAUCACUGGAGUUCGGCAGGGGAGACUGGAAUUCCUGGUGUAGCGGUGAAAUGCGCAGAUAUCUGGAGGAACACCGGUGGCGAAGGACGGCAUCCUGGACCGGCAUUGACGCUGAGGCGCGAAAGCUAGGGGAGCA
rnacentral:rRNA from 1 species